GAGUUUGAUCUUGGCUCAGAACGAACGCUGGCGGCAUGCCUAACACAUGCAAGUCGAACGGGAUCCAGGCUUCGGCCUGGUGAGAGUGGCGGACGGGUGAGUAACGCGUGGGAACCUGCCCAAUGGUCUGGGAUAACCGCGGGAAACUGCGGCUAAUACCGGAUAAGCCCGAGAGGGGAAAGAUUUAUCGCCGAUGGAGGGGCCCGCGUCCGAUUAGGUAGUUGGUGAGGUAACGGCUCACCAAGCCUUCGAUCGGUAGCUGGUCUGAGAGGAUGAUCAGCCACACUGGGACUGAGAUACGGCCCAGACUCCUACGGGAGGCAGCAGUGGGGAAUAUUGGACAAUGGGGGCAACCCUGAUCCAGCAAUGCCGCGUGAGUGAUGAAGGCCUUAGGGUUGUAAAGCUCUUUUGCCGGGGACGAUGAUGACGGUACCCGGAGAAUAAGCCCCGGCUAACUUCGUGCCAGCCGCCGCGGU
rnacentral:rRNA from 1 species